GGACGGUUAGCUGAGACUUAGAUUAGCGCAAGUUUGAAAAACUUGAGAGGUUGGCGCGAUACCAACACCGUCCACCA
rnacentral:tRNA from 1 species